rnacentral:rRNA from 1 species
UACAGAGGGGGCAAGCGUUGUUCGGAAUUACUGGGCGUAAAGGGCGCGUAGGCGGCCUGCUAAGUCGAACGUGAAAUCCCUGGGCUCAACCCAGGAACUGCGUCCGAGACUGGUUGGCUUGAAUCCGGGAGAGGGAUGUGGAAUUCCAGGUGUAGCGGUGAAAUGCGUAGAUAUCUGGAGGAACACCGGUGGCGAAGGCGGCAUCCUGGACCGGCAUUGACGCUGAGGCGCGAAAGCCAGGGGAGCAAACGGG